UACAGAGGUCUCAAGCGUUGUCCGGAAUUACUGGGCGUAAAGGGCGCGUAGGCGGCCACUGCAAGUCGGUUGUGAAAUCUCCGGGCUUAACCCGGAAAGGUCAACCGAUACUGCAGGGCUAGAGUGCAGAAGGGGCAACUGGAAUUCUCGGUGUAGCGGUGAAAUGCGUAGAUAUCGAGAGGAACACCUGCGGCGAAGGCGGGUUGCUGGGCUGACACUGACGCUGAUGCGCGAAAGCUAGGGGAGCGAACGGG
rnacentral:rRNA from 1 species